AGUGAACGCUGGCGGUAGGCCUAACACAUGCAAGUCGAACGGCAGCACAGUAAGAGCUUGCUCUUACGGGUGGCGAGUGGCGGACGGGUGAGGAAUACAUCGGAAUCUACUUUUUCGUGGGGGAUAACGUAGGGAAACUUACGCUAAUACCGCAUACGACCUACGGGUGAAAGCAGGGGAUCUUCGGACCUUGCGCGAUUGAAUGAGCCGAUGUCGGAUUAGCUAGUUGGCGGGGUAAAGGCCCACCAAGGCGACGAUCCGUAGCUGGUCUGAGAGGAUGAUCAGCCACACUGGAACUGAGACACGGUCCAGACUCCUACGGGAGGCAGCAGUGGGGAAUAUUGGACAAUGGGCGCAAGCCUGAUCCAGCCAUACCGCGUGGGUGAAGAAGGCCUUCGGGUUGUAAAGCCCUUUUGUUGGGAAAGAAAAGCAGCAGGUUAAUACCCCGCUGUUCUGACUGUACCCAAAGAAUAAGCGCCGGCUAACUUCGUG
rnacentral:rRNA from 1 species